GGCGUACGGGUGCGGAACACGUGUGCAACUGCCUUUAUCUGGGGGAUAGCCUUUCGAAACGGAACGAUUAAUACCCCAUAAUAUGUUGAAUGGCAUCAUUCGACAUUGGAAAACUCCGGUGGAUAGCAGCAUGGGCACGCGCCAAGCAUUCAGCAUAGUUGGUGAGGUAACGGCUCACCAAGUCUACGAUCUUUAGGGGGCCUGAGAGGGUGAUCCCCCACACUGGUACUGAGACACGGACCCAAGANUCCUACAGGGAGGCACGCAGUGCAGGGAAUAUUGGACCAAUGGGGUGAGAGCCUGAUCCAGNCAUCCUGACGUGAAGGACGACAUGCCACUAAUGGGUUGUAACACUUCUUAUAGUAUAGGGCAUAAACCUACCCUACGUGAGGGUAGCUGAGGGUACUAUACGAAUAAGCACCGGAUAAAAUCCGUGCCAANAGCACGNGGUAAUACGGAGGGUGCAAGGAGUUUAUCCGGAUUUAUGGGUUUCAAGGGUACGUAAGACGGAUCUGUAAAGUCAGAUAGGUGAAAUCUCAAAGAUUUAACUUGUGAAAAUGGACCAAUUGAUACCUGGCAAGGGAACUNAAGAAGUAGUAU
rnacentral:rRNA from 1 species